rnacentral:lncRNA from 1 species
CUCGAGGGUCCCGCCUCGGAGGUCGGCGAGACAUUGCACAGGAGCUCUCCGGGCGUAUUGAGAAGUGGGAAGGACGGUUUCAUGGAGGAAAAUGGAAGACCCCAGGGGCGCCCCCUCGGUGGGAGAGGCACCUCCGGGCAAGGGAGAGGAGGGGGGAGGCGCACAUUGCUGCUUUCCUCUUCUGUAACAGGGAUCAACAAAAAAUGCUCUAAGGGACAUUAGCGCCAGGACUGGAGAGAUCUGAUAAGCCUGUGAUGACAUAGCAGCACCGCACCCGCGCUCCUGUUCCCGACUCUGAUACCCGGACGGGGUCACGAGGGAAGGACCCUGCCCCCAGGAAGCACCCGCUGAGCCAUCAUGGGAGGGAGCCUCAGGCCCGCCACGCACUCUCGCGGCGCUCCAGCUUGUGCAAUAAUAACAUGCACUUAGAGAGAGAGCAAAGUGACACCGCAAAUGUGGCAAAAUAUUCACAAUGGAGGGAUCCGACAGAAGCACAGGAAAGGGCGCCAUUGCCGCCGCUGCUCAGUGAGUUUGGAAUCCUUGCAAAGCAAGAGUCGUCUGGAAGACCUUAAAAAUGUCCGUAGUCUGUUCUCCGGGUUUGUUUGAACAUUGUUCACUGACAAUAACAUCGACGUGUUGCUAGAGUGUUAGAGCUUUUGACGAUUAAGUAAAAGGAAGAUAACCCCUAUCAGGCAGCAGCAGAGAUGGGAGGAGUGAUGUGUAAAGUACACAAUUGGCGGUCCGUGUCCAGCGCACUGGAAGAGCUCCAUAAACACAGGCUUUUUGUCAGCUCGGCCGCCUCUAUCCAGCUGUCCGGUCAUCACCGCCACCCUGACACUAACAGGCAACUCAGGCUGGCAUGGUCAAGGCUGACUUCCUGAUCUUCCCUCCCGCUCUUGCCCACCCCAACACCUGGGCAAGACACUCCUGUCCUUCUAGGAGCUGAAGUCAAAAAUCUUGGCAUCAUCCUGGACUCCUCUCUCCUGCAAGCCUCACAUCUGACUCACCUGCAAAUCCUUCUAGCUUUCCCUUUAAAAUAUACCCAGAGUCCAGCCCUGUCUCACCGCCUCCACCGCUACCUGGUCCUGGCCAACGCCGUCCUCCCCUGCUGCUCCAGCAGCCUCCCCACUGGGCUCUCUGCUUCCCCUCUCACGCCGACUGUCUUCUGCUGUCGCCAGAGCACCUCAGGAUCCGUCAUGAAACUCCAUUCAAGGCUCCCGUGUGGCCACAUCUCACCCAGAGCAAAUGCCAGCGUCUAAUCACAGGCCCCUGAGAUGGUCCCCACCGCACCAGCAGGGGCAGGGGAAGCAGAAGAUGUGGCAAAGUGCUCGAGAAAAGCAUCGGAGGAAAAGAUGGUCCCUUUGGUUAUAUAGGAAGAUAUCAUUACAGAAAUAAAUAGAUUUUAUGGUUUUUGCUGGAUAGCACAUGAUUGGUCCAAAGUGGACCAAGUAAUGCUGAGGAAGACUUUUUGGAAGAGACGCGAGACAUUCUCAACCUCCCUUCCAAAAUAACACCUAGAUAAGGCUGGAAACGCAAACUAGGCCCUUCUGAGUGAAGAGGCAGGACCAAGCACGGCGCUGGACCCCAGGCCCUCGUGAGGCCCGGCUAAAACCACCGUGAUGGGAUUUUUAAGAUACAAACCUAAAGAGAAAAUGAGAAAGGUGAAGAUAACGAAACUCUGGGAGCCGGAAAGCUUAUGAACAAGAAGCAACUGACUGAGCGGCCGAAGAGCUGAGUUCCAUGCUCACGGCAGGAAAACCCAUGAACCUAUGAACUGGAUUUAUUUAGCAGAACGCUCAGAAAAAUGCAGGAGCCUGUGGCACCAGGUCCUUCUGGAACUGAGAGCGAAGCCGCAGGGAGGGAGAGCGUCAAAUAAGGGAGGCUGGCUGACACUGUUCAGCAGCAGUUAGAUGCUGGGACCCCCACCCCCACUCUGCAUGGUGGGGUGCCUGUCUCUCUCCCACUCUGGCAGAAGACCGACAACUGGCUUUCCAGAGAGGAUAAACCUAGGGACUCUGGACUGUGUGACAUCAGAUGCAGUUGGGACCCAGGGUAUCAAACUGGAGAUGGGGGAUUCAGUGACUGUGGACGUACUGGAUGCUGAGACCCCCUCUCCCAUCCCUCCUACCCUACUGGGCUCCCAGAAUGCUGGCAGCCAGGCCGCUGCGCUCUAGAAAGGAGGCUGGAACAAUCUGCUCCAGUGCAUCUGACAAGCCCAGGUGGAAAGACCUGGAGAGACUGACACAGGGGCUCCCCCAAAAUUGGCACAGCAUAGCACCCCACAGUAAAGCUCACAGGCAAGAAGAUCUGCCUGUUCAGACACCGUGGAUAAGCAGACAUGUGAGGAGAGCCUCUACGAGGCAGAGAACAAAACGAAGAAAAGCGACUUGGAGGAAGAAAACAUUAAGCAAGGAGAAGAAAAUUUCCAAAAAUCAUUAUUGAUAACUUUUGAGAGAUAAGAAAAGAUGUUAAAUCCAUGAAACAAGAACAGAAGUUUAUAAAUAAGAACACUUAUAGAGCAAAAAGUAUUUCUUGCAAAUUAAAAAUGUGAAAAUA